AUGAACCUCUUAAGUUGGAACUGUCGGGGAGGGGGGAAUACCCGCACAGUUCGUGAAUUAGCGACGUUGACACAGUCGCAUUCCCCCGCUUUUGUGUUUUUUUGUGAGACUAGACAAAAGGAAGCAAAGAUGAAGAAGAUACGUGGUCGACUAGGAUUAAAGGGAUUUGCGUGUGUUGAUAGUAAUGGAAUGAGCGGCGGCCUAGCUCUCUAUUGGCAUGAGGCCUGCUUAGUGGAAAUUGUUGACACGGAUGAGCGCUAUAUUGAUGCUUUGGUUCGGAUGCAUGAGGCUGCUCCACAGUGGCGAAUAAUCUGUGUGUAUGGUGAGCCCCGAACUGAAAAUCGUCACCUCAUGUGGGCAAAGUUACAGAACCUCAAAAACACUAGCGACCUGCCAUGGCUAGUGAUCGGGGAUUUUAAUUGA
rnacentral:rRNA from 1 species